UACAGAGGUCUCAAGCGUUGUCGGAUUCAUUGGGCGUAAAGGGCGCGUAGGCGGCGGGGUAAGUCGGGUGUGAAAUCUCAGAGCUCAACUCUGAAAUGGCACUUGAUACUGCUCUGCUAGAGGACUGGAGAGGAGAUUGGAAUUCAUGGUGUAGCAGUGAAAUGCGUAGAGAUCAUGAGGAAGACCAGUGGCGAAGGCGGGUCUCUGGACAGUUCCUGACACUGAGACACGAAGGCCAGGGGAGCAAACGGGG
rnacentral:rRNA from 1 species